rnacentral:rRNA from 1 species
UACGUAGGGUGCGAGCGUUAAUCGGAAUUAUUGGGCGUAAAGCGCUUGUAGGCGGCACGUCAAGUCGCGUGUGAAAUCCCCAGGCUUAACCUGGGAAGUGCGCGCGAAACUGACGAGCUUGAGUGCCGGAGAGGGUCGCGGAAUCCCCGGUGUAGCGGUGAAAUGCGCAGAUAUCGGGAAGAACACCCGUGGCGAAGGCGGCUCUCUGGGACGGUACUGACGCUGAGACGCGAAAGCGUGGGGAGCGAACAGG